AGGUGUGACGGGCCGCCUAGCACCCCGAUCGGGUACCUCUGUCAAUCGCUGCGUCUUAGUAAUCCUUGAGUACCAUAAGCACUGCACCGGACACCAUAAGCACCUUAAACCCCACAAACCACCACAGCUUGAUUGGGGUCUCGCUGUCCUCCACCCACCCUGGACCCAAGACCAGCAUCCAGCUUCCAGUGGGUAGACCUCUCCUAAGCAAGUGAUUAUAAACCCAGGUAGUAUAAGGAGUAUAGCAAUCACCAGAGUGUGAAUAUAGCUCCCAAUCCCCCAAACAUGAGCCUAGACUUCAUGAAGGGUAA